GUGCUUGCUUCACAGCACAUAUAUAAAAUUGGAACACUACAGAGAAGAUCAGCAUGGCCCCCGUGCAAGGACAACACACAAGUUUGUGAUGCAGUCCAUAUUGCU
ensembl:snRNA U6 U6 spliceosomal RNA